UUCAUGGAGAGAAAGAAUCAAUUUUGAAGCAGUCUAAUAAAGAUAAAAUAGGCCAGGUGACAGCUUCAAAAAUGCCUAUUUUCCUGGUUUGGUUUUUGCAGGAACUCCAAGGGUGAUUAGCUGUGAUGGAAGCAGCCAUACUGAAGACAACAAGGGUACAGUGCAACAGGCUCAGCAUCACCCACAGGCAUUAGUAAAUCAUGGUAUCAGAAACAUGGAAAAUCUUCAGUUGGUAAAAACUCACAAGCAGGAAAGCCUGAAUCUCAACCUCAUUUCAGUCAGUGCCAGCCAAAGCAGCCACUGUUUGGGAGUGCUGGGGCAGAGCUGAUCCCUGUGCCAGGGCUGCAAUCAUUGGGUGCUGGCAGAGAAAUGUUCCCUUGAAUUGUGACACAGCCAUUUUCAUCUCACAGGAUGAGAUACAGGAGAGGUCAGUGUAAUCACCAUAACCUACUCCACACAUCUUCUGCAUCGUGAAUGCUUUUCUUUCAUCUUCCCCAGAGCUGUAUCAUUUUGGUACUGAAUUGGUCACUACCUGCCAUUUACUUGAAAAACUCACAAAUUCAAGGCUGUGAGAUCUUGCUGAUAUGUUUGCCUGCUUGGGAAGUGUCUUUCUGUAAAAGACAGGAGCCCACUCUCGUACUGACUCAUGACAACCUUCACAUUUGUGUUUACAUUCUUCAGGCAACCAUCAGAAAACAUGCUGAAAAACAGAGGCCAUAGAGGAGGACAAAAAUCUGUAAAAUUAUCUGGGUUACAAUUAUCAGCCUCAAACAGUUCAUGCUUUAUUUCUAACCUUCAGUACCAGCUGAGAGCCUGGAGACAUCAAUAUUUUCUACCUCUAAUUUA